UCACAGACACUGCCUGAGUUAGAAGUUCCACUUCAGGUGACUGGAAGGGAACCUGAUUCCAAGGUGAAGGAUGCACAAUGGGCUGAUGAACAAAUGCCUAUUGAUUCUCUACAGAAUCUGUGAAGCAACAAACACAACUAGCUGACGAGAUUCAAGCCUACUCAAAGCUUUCAUAUCUCUCAAAUGAUUGCAUGGCGCUACUCCUGGAAGAGAUGGGUUUCGGACCUGGAUAAUUUUGAGGAAAAAAGGCAAACCAUCAUGUAUAGAAUAAGGAAGCAAUGGCCGUGCAAUGUUGUACCAACAAUCUGCAAAUACUGGCCUAUCUCCAUUAGGGGUGCACACAGAGCUUCUUGGAACUGAUGUUGCAGAAGGUUCACCAAGCUGAAAUAACACCAAGACCAGAGAAUGGUUCAUGCUUAUAAAAUA